UUGACAUAAACAGUACGUGCAUAAAAUAUUUCCUUAUAAAAUGAUCAAACAAUUUUCCAUUGGUUACAUACAAAUGAGAAAAAUAUGGCUACAAUUACCAAGUUUGUGUAUGCUAUCAUCCUAUUUAUUUCUCUACUUGUUGUAACUUAUGCCUUUCCAUCUAUCCUAAAUAAAAAGUGCGCAUCCACUUCUGAUUGUCUAAAUUCUGCUGGUGAUGAUCCUUGUAUUGGACGUGCAUUCGUUAUAUGCCAAGAAAAAAAUUGUGUUUGUGUUGAUUAAAAAUAUUAACAGCACAUAAGCAUAUAUAUAAGCUAGCAUUUUUUUUUCUGAAACGGCAAAAUAUGCAUUUAUUUAUAUCUCAACUAAACAAGCACAAGAAGUACUUGAAGCGCAACAGAAUUACCUUUGCUUGCUUUCAUAAAUACAUGGAGAAUAAGGAAUAAAUAAAGAUGUAUGAUUAUGUAAAAUCAUUAUUUUAUGAAGUUUUUUGUUAUGUA